CUGGUUGUCUUAGACUUGAAAACAAGUCUUUCUCUUGAAAGAUCCACAUAUAAGAUGACUAUGCUACUGGUUGGAAAACACCUUUUAAACACCUUUGAGCAGAGAAAGUUAAUAACCCAUCAGAUAGAAAGUAAUUAAACAGAGUAGGUUUCCAGCUUUUUUUCGCAUUGCAAGGUAAGUAUACAAACACUAUAGAAACACUAUUUAAUCUGAAUGAAGCUGGAAGAUAACUAAGGAGAGAACAAAAAAUAUUCUUUGCUCAUGGUUGGAGAAAGUUUAUUUGGAUAACAAUAAAGAUACGUAACUGGAGGUCAUCUGCUCUGAUCCACUACCUAACUUCAGGUAAGAAAGUGAGAUUAAAAUCAUGUAACUUUGGCACACAGAAAAAAAAAAGUGUAACUUGAUAUUAACUGAUAUUAAUUUGCUUAGGAAAGAAGACGGGGAAAUACUUAACAUCUGCUUGGAGACAUGACAGGUAAUAGAGUUGGUUAAUUAAACAAAUAUUUAUAGAUAAUUUAGCUGAGAUUGUUAGAAAGAGAUCUUGAUUCUUUUUUUGUUUGAUGACUAUUAUGUACAGAAAAUUUAUAGAACAGGGACAAAUGAUGAAUAGUUUGCUUGGUGAUUGACGAGGGAUAUAAUUAAUAAUUUACUGAUUAUAGUAAUGGCCAUUUUUAUUUUACUAGUUCUGACAGAUAAUGAAUAAUCAUUCAAUGGUCUUGAUUAUCACUAACAUAGAAUUAAUUAUUUGUAGCCUUUAAAAAAACCCAACAAAACAUGUAUAUAGGUACAAACCUCAAUAUGUUUGGUUUCUUCAUAGGGCAGUAGUUAAGAUAAUGUCUAUUUUAGGCAGAAUCUUAUAUCUGUCAUAAGAUGUGUGAUGAUAUAGUGAGCACAAAGCCCUGAGACUGGCCAGAGUUCAUGUAAGUUUAUGUAAUAUAUUCAAAACAGAUUAGGAAUUAGAUUUUUUCAGCAAUAAGGAAGCAUGAACAUGUCAUGUGCUUAUGAUGAUAAUAGUCUUCUGAAGACAUAGAUUGUUGUCCAGGAGGAAGUUAAUGUUCUAACUCCAACUGCCCUGGGCCUCUGAGCACAGAAGUACCUGAGCGCAUGUUUUGCAGCCACAGAUGCUCUAGUGCCUCUGAAACAGCUUGAUCUGUUUCAUUGUGUUUUAAGAAUGAAGGAGGGAUAAUGUAAAGUUAGUUACACCAGAUAUUUGCCAUCCAGUAUUUUGCUGGGAAAUCUUUAUUUCUUGAUGGCAUGGCAGAGCAGAAAACAACACUGUAGGGAUUCCUAAUUACUAAUGAAAAAGAAACAUGAUGAAGACAAGAAACAGGCUGUGCUCAUUCCUUUUAAUAUAACUUGGGUAUUUACUGUAUGGUCAGCUGUUCACCUUUGUGUCAAAUGCUCUUCUGCCUCUAAGGAGCAGGAGACUGCUCAGGAUAACCACUGCCUUUAGAAGAAGAAAGAUGGUGUUGUGUGGGGGAGGAAGAUGCAGCUAUUACACCUAAAAUUUUCCAGUAGAGCACACAAUGAAGAAUGUGGGGGGAGCGAUUGUGCUGCUGUGCACCCUGCCACUUGAGCAGCUGUGUCCUGUCCUCUUAAGAUCCUGGCUUUGGAUUUGACAGACAUGGUCUCCGCAGUCUGCAGACAGUGAAGCUAAAGGCCAGUUAUGUUUCUUCAAAGGAUAACUUCCACAACCAAAGAAGCUACCCUGAAGAAGAGUAUGUAUCUCCAGAGACAUUUUUGUUUCCAUCUUAAGAAACCUGAUCCUGCUCCAGCAGACGUCAAUGAAGUCUCACCAUUAACCAUGAAGAAAACGAAAAACCAUCCUCUCAGAAAUCAUUGCAGCCUAUUCCUUUUUCUCUUGCUGCUUCAGUCUAUGGCUUUUGUCUUUCACAGCUCUUUUGUUUGUUGUUUCAGUUUGCAGUUGUUCUCUCAUGUUUUGGUCAUUGAUUUUGCUUUCUUCAUUCUCACUGUAGCUUUACUACUCAAUGUUUUCCCUUCUACAAAGGAAAUAGGUAAUUUGCUGUACAAACAGGCUUUGUUAGAUUUGAUGCAACAGCAAUAGUCAGCCCUCCGUUCAGUAACACUAAUGUCCUGUGAACCCCAGAUUUUGUCUGCUAUCAUUCCCUCUCAUGUCCCUGGCUUAUGAGGGGAUCACGUUUUAUUUGCUGGGCUUAUCAGUGUUUUUUUCUUCUUCUGGUAAUUGCCUGACCUGCUAUGAUUGUUGUUUGCAGUAUUUACUAACUCACAGAUCUUUCUGUCUACUUUAUCUGUGCUUGUUCUUAUCAGUAGAGGCUCAUUGACAUUUUCUUCAUUCAGUGCCCACACACAGACUUCUCAGUGCUUAAUGAUGGGCACUUUGAGAUCUAAAAUAUUUGUAUAGCAUUCAGGGGAAAAAAAUUUCACUAAAACUAAUGGUAUGUUUUAUGUGAUAGUGUACAACUUUUUAAUUACAUAAUUAAAACAGAAAACACUUAGUUUAUUUUAUAUCCCAUAACAAUCACAGAUUUUUACUACCAAAAAAAUGCCCAAACCAAUCAAACAAAAUCCCCUAAAAAAACCACAGCUGAACUAAUUUUAAAACAUACAAAAGUAAAAAAAUUUGCUUGGAAUAACCUCUCCCCCCAAUUUGCAGUUUUGCUUCAGAAUACAUGUUUGUUUAUCCUUGUACUGCAAGAUGCAAAGUAAAUGCCAUUAGUGCCUUUGCACACUGUGCUCUCUGCAAUUUAUGGUGAGCAGUAACAGACUUCAGCAGUAAGUGGCCACAUAGUGAGAUGAACAGUUACAUAACCACAGACAGUAAUUGGAUGCUAUUAAUGAGAAUUUGGGAUAACACCAUUUUUUAGCCCCAGACGUAGUUAACUUUUUAUAAUCUCGAUUAGUGCCAUAUACACUUCUUUUACAGUGUAUAAUUAUUUUCCUAAUCUCCAUUUGUGCCCUCCGAAGUCACUGAAACAAAGACCUUUUUGCAUUACCCUGAUUUGUCCAAAUGCCUCAGAUUAUGUAUCACAAGUACGGAUUUGUAAAUAGUGUCUCUUCAUAUGGAGACAUGAAAAGUUUUGUCACCUUGUAGACAGAUGUAAGAAAUUGUACUUUUCAGGGUCCUAAUUCUUUUACCUUUUUAAUCUCAUUCCUUUUGUUCCUGUGAAUAAAUGUCUGUACCCUUAGAAAGCAGCAGCUGCUUGUAUUACACCUUCUCAGAUAGUCUGUCUGGCCAGAAACCAGAGCAGGACAGAAGCAAGAAUCUGUUCAUAAUUUAUUUUUUCUUGCUAUUGGCUUACAGAAGGGAAUAAAGGGGGAGCUUGGUCUAGGUCUUGUACCAAAUCCCUCUUUUUUAGGUACUUUCCAGCAUGACAACCCUGACUCUCUAACUAGAUAUGCUUGGGAACAGACCUAGGAUGUUGGCAGCUUAAAAGGACGGGGCUCCAGCAUCUGCUGUGGACAAAUAGACACCUCUUAGCAGAAGGUGUAGCAAAAUAAAAAAUGCCAUAUUCUACAAAAUGUAUGGUUUUCGACUGAAAAUUGUGGCCUUGACGUGUGAGUACAAACGUGCUCUGACCUGAUUUCCUGGGUAACUGUGGUUACUGCAUGUGAAGCCACUGGCAGCUGCAGGUGCUCAGCACUUGGGAAAAUAAGGUAUCAAGUAACAAAGAUGAACUUGCAAAGAAUGUUUUUUAAAAAGAAUACCAGUUGAUCAAUAUUCAGAUAAACACCUCAAAUUGUGCUGUAUGUGAUCAUAUUUGAAAGAAUUCAUACCUAGAGCAGUCUAAUAAAGCACUGCAAUUGAAAGAAGUAAAUUCAAGGUAACAUUUUUUACUGUUUUUUAUUUCUUAUUUUCUGCUCAGAGUCACUGAACUCCAUGUAAUUGACUGAUCUUUUAUCUUUAAUUGGAGUCUGUGUCUACAGAAAUUAGUUUUUACAGAUAGAUUAUUACUAGGUGAAAAUCCUAGAAUUUUGGAUAUAUUGUUUUGUAUCAAGACCUUUUGGAAAGUAUGAAGCUAUCUUCUUGUUGAUCCUUUGAGGACUCCAAAAGAGUCUUGUUUAAUAUUAUUCAAACUUUCUAGCCCAGGACACCUUCUGUAAGUAAGUUUCCUCACUUUUCCUGUGAUUCAACACAUUCUAUAUCAAAAAGGUUGGCAAGUUCACUAGCAGUCCACAUCCAUGAGCACUUUAAAUGAAGUGUGAAUUUGAAAAAAACAAUUAAAAAUGCCACUAAAAGUCUGCUUCUUUGCAGAUGAUUUUGUGCAGUUGCCAUCCUUGAAGGGUAUCAAAACCAGACUGGAUAAAGCCCUGAGCAAGCUUCCUGCUUUAAAAAUCCUUGUGCAUCUGGAAAGACAGAAGGAAAUGGUGGAAACUUCCUCUCUUGCUGUGUUUUUCCUAGUUUGUCAGGGAGGGCUGGCUUCAGAAGCUCCAGCUUUUCAAAAGGCAGGAUUUGAACUUAUUAAAGACUGGAAGCCAAGCAAGAUGUCAGGCAAGAUGCAAGACCUAAACUAUAAGAAGUUGCACAAGAUUUUCAGUACUAUUAGUAUAUUAACCCUAAAAUUUCUUCAUAUUUCCACUGUCUGUAACAUAUGUCAACAGACCACGUUAAGACUAAGUGUAUUUUUCAAGAGAAAUGUCUCAUCUUGUCACCCUUGAGUAUAUGUUUUCGUUCUGUCUUUUACUUUGUAUCAGAACUAACUGAAAAGUGUGUCAUUCAGUUUAUGGAGAAGUGGAAUUGCAGAAGAAAAUACAAGAAUGUUACACUUCAUUUUUUUUAAACCUUGAUCGCUUUUUGAACUAAGACUUCCAGAAUUAAAAUGACUUAAUGCUUCUCUGCAUUAAAAGUUGCCAUAAAGAGUAAAAAUUGAGGUGUGAAUUUAAAGCUCAUAAACUACUCCACACUAACUCUUUUUGGAAAUUCUCUUAGCUAGCAAUGUGUGAAGUAAUUUACUCCAUUUCCGAAAAGCAUCAGUAAGUUCACACCUUAGUUUUGACAUGGAGGAGGUUAUCUCAUAUUCACUGUGCAUUGCAUGCCUUACAUGAGUAACUCACGUUGCAAAUCCACAAACUCUGAUUGGAGCUGCUGCAUGAAAAAAACCCUUUGAGUGCAUUUUUGAGUAUUCAGACAUGUUUGGUAAAGAAAACCUACAUAAUCGGGGCCAAGGUAAAGAAAUGAGUCAUCUCAAACGUAUUGCAAUUGUUGUUCCCAAGGCAUGCAGAAUGUCUUCCUGAUACUCAUAAUUGCUACUGCUCCGAGUCAUCAGUGAACCCCAAACAACUCACAUGGAGAAACAACACAGAACUGGUGAAUUUUAGAGUCAUUUGGCAUCUAAUCCUAUUCCUUCACUGCUUGUGGUACCUGCUUUUCUUCCAUCCCAUAACUCUGUUAAAGGUAGUGUUUUGGCAUUAAGGGUUGCUUCUUUGUGCCCUGCCAUAGAACAUGUGGCAAAAUCAGACCCCUAGAUCCUAUGCUAUGGCAGGCAGAGUGAAAUCUGACCACUAUGGCAGCCUUUGCCUCCUCAAGAGCCCCAGAAAGAGCCUAGAGCUCCUUCCCUGCAUGGGAAACCUCUCAAACUGUUGUCAGUCUCCUGUGUAAUUGUAGGAGCUUCUUAAUAAGAUAAACAAAUGAGUAGCUAACAGUGAUGGCAAUGGCAGGGGUCAGUCAUCAACAUACACAUUUUCUGUGUUUUCAUAUUUACCCAACAGCAAUGGUUACCUGUAAUGAAUCAAUAACUACGAGGAUCUCAGCGGAGGCAGAAAACUGGAAUGCUUUAUUGGACUCACAAAUUCAUAUUUAAAGGGUUUAGGAUCUACAUAUUCAACAGGGGGUUGUAAAUAUUACAAUUAUUACAAACAGGGGGUUUCAGGAGAUGACAUAAGGGAAAAAUCCAGGUUAACAAAUUUGGGGUCUUACACAUACAUCAUAGGGGGAAACCCAUUUUAUCUUGGGGGAAUUACAAGGGAAAAAAGGUAUUUGGGUUUACAGAAUGCCAGGAUUCAGGGAACACAAAGGGAGAGAUAAAACACAAAAGGUCUUCUGCACAGGUUUGAUGAGAUCAGGGUGAGGACUCUCUGGUUUGGGCAGGGCAUGAUGUGACAACAUCAUGCAAAGAGUCUUUUCACAUCCUGCUGGAGAAGGCAGGAAAAAUCCACAGGGAUGAGGUCAAUGCAGAGGGUUUUUCCCAACUUCUAUAGCCCAGAGCUUUUUGGAAAGACCACUCAAAUCUCUCUCUGAAGAUAUUAUAUUUUGGGAUCCAACAGUUACCAAGGGCAUGUUUAGACUUUAGGUUAUCUGUUUCUAAAUAUAUAUGAAGCCUUCCCAGAACAUUCAAAUUGAUUGUAUAUGAGACAAUAUUCAAUCAGUUUACCAAAUCGAUCAGCAAAAUUCAGCUGAUGUAUAACAUCAGUUCCGUCUGAAAAUCUUCCCAAAACCUCCAGUGCUUAAUCAGCCUUUUUGAUCUAAACUCUUAGUGGGAAUUCUCACUAUGGUUUUUUCUUACCAAAUUUCCAUCACUUUCUGUAUCUCACUAAGCCAAAAGUAUUGAGGGAAUAGUCUUUUUUUGUGGCAUUUUGGCACUUGUAAUCCAGACUGGAACCACAGUGUGCA